CAGAAUCGUCCAACAACACGUUCGAGGACUUGAGGUUGUCGUGAGGCGCCGCCACCUUGCUCCCGCUCUGGCGGUGGAGGUGCUCCAGCGCCCUCGCCACGCCUCGUGCGGCCGCCAGCCGCGAGCUCCAUCGGAACAGAGAUAGAGAAAAAGCCUAUCUUCACCCUUGGAGUGAUAGUAGGCGAGAAGAGGCAACAAAUUGGGGUGGUUGAGAGCAGCAAAAAAUGGGGGCCAUAGUUAUUAAUUUUUUUUUAAUUUCGAACGGAGUUAAGUCACUGUUCAAAUGCGGGGAGAAUUUGCUUCACUUUUGGCACGUUAGGGUAGCGAGCAGCGGCAUACCUGACUUUGGGGUGUUAAAGGCGAUAGGGUGCCAACGUUGGGGGGAGAGAAUUGGUACUUAACCUUUAUUUUAUUGUUCUUAUGACCUGUUCUGAGAGCUAUGAGCAACAUUAUUGGUAUUUUUCCUUUUUCCUCUCAUUAUAUCUUGUGUUCUAUAGCCUUCAAACUUUCUAUACAGAAUUCUGAUUUAAUUUAAUUUAUCUUUUUGACUGCAGGGAGUUGGGUCCAGUUUAGCAAUAAGCUUUUCGGUGUACUGAGAGUUUGAGAUCUUUUUAACUCUCUCACUGGU
rnacentral:lncRNA from 1 species